rnacentral:rRNA from 1 species
GCGGGACACGUGGUAUCCUGUCUGAAUAUGGGGGGACCAUCCUCCAAGGCUAAAUACUCCUGACUGACCGAUAGUGAACCAGUACCGUGAGGGAAAGGCGAAAAGAACCCCGGCGAGGGGAGUGAAAAAGAACCUGAAACCGUGUACGUACAAGCAGUGGGAGCCUCUUUAUGGGGUGACUGCGUACCUUUUGUAUAAUGGGUCAGCGACUUAUAUUCUGUAGCAAGGUUAACCGAAUAGGGGAGCCGAAGGGAAACCGAGUCUUAACUGGGCGUUAAGUUGCAGGGUAUAGACCCGAAACCCGGUGAUCUAGCCAUGGGCAGGUUGAAGGUUGGGUAACACUAACUGGAGGACCGAACCGACUAAUGUUGAAAAAUUAGCGGAUGACUUGUGGCUGGGGGUGAAAGGCCAAUCAAACCGGGAGAUAGCUGGUUCUCCCCGAAAGCUAUUUAGGUAGCGCCUCGUGAAUUCAUCUCCGGGGGUAGAGCACUGUUUCGGCAAGGGGGUCAUCCCGACUUACCAACCCGAUGCAAACUGCGAAUACCGGAGAAUGUUAUCACGGGAGACACACGGCGGGUGCUAACGUCCGUCGUGAAGAGGGAAACAACCCAGACCGCCAGCUAAGGUCCCAAAGUCAUGGUUAAGUGGGAAACGAUGUGGGAAGGCCCAGACAGCCAGGAUGUUGGCUUAGAAGCAGCCAUCAUUUAAAGAAAGCGUAAUAGCUCACUGGUCGAGUCGGCCUGCGCGGAAGAUGUAACGGGGCUAAACCAUG